AACGCGAAGAACCUUACCAACUUUUGACAUGUCCCGUAUGGAUUUCAGAGAUGAGAUCCUUCAGUUCGGCUGGCGGGAACACAGGUGCUGCAUGGCUGUCGUCAGCUCGUGUCGUGAGAUGUUGGGUUAAGUCCCGCAACGAGCGCAACCCUCGCCCUUAGUUGCCAUCAUUUAGUUGGGCACUCUAAGGGGACUGCCGGUGAUAAGCCGGAGGAAGGUGGGGAUGACGUCAAGUCCUCAUGGCCCUUACAGGUUGGGCUACACACGUGCUACAAUGGCGGUGACAGAGGGACGCAAAAGGGCAACCUUUCGCAAAUCUCGAAAAACCGUCUCAGUUCGGAUUGGGGUCUGCAACUCGACCCCAUGAAGUUGGAAUCGCUAGUAAUCGUGGAUCAGCACGCCACGGUGAAUACGUUCCCGGGCCUUGUACACACCCGCACGA
rnacentral:rRNA from 1 species